GCUUGUCUCAAAGAUUAAGCCAUGCAUGUUCAAGUAUAGCAAGUGUACAGUGAAACUGCGAAUGGCUCAUUAAAUCAGUUAUAAUUUAUUUGAUAGUGAAAUUGUACAUGGAUAACCGUGGUAAUUCUAGAGCUAAUACAUGCAAAAAAACCCAGACUUACGAAUGGGUGCACUUAUUAGAUAAAGCCAACGCUGGGUAAAACCAGUUUCCCUUGGUGAUUCAUAAUAAUUAAGCGGAUCGCAUGGCCUUGUGCUAGCGACAGUCCACUCGAUUUUCUGCCCUAUCAUGGUUGAGAUUGUAAGAUAGAGGCUUACAAUGCCUACAACGGGUAACGGGGAAUUAGGGUUCGAUUCCGGAGAGGGAGCCUGAGAAACGGCUACCACAUCCAAGGAAGGCAGCAGG
rnacentral:rRNA from 1 species